rnacentral:misc_RNA from 1 species
GAUGAAGAACGUAGUGAAAUGCGAUACGUAAUGUGAAUUGCAAAUUCAGUGAAUCAUCGAGUCUUUGAACGCACAUUGCGCCCCCUGGUAUUCCGGGGGGCAUGCCUGUCCGAGCGUCAUUGCUGCCCUCAAGCACGGCUUGUGUGUUGGACCCCGUCCUCCGAUCCCGGGGGACGGGCCCGAAAGGCAGCGGCGGCACCGCGUCCGGUCCUCGAGCGUAUGGGGCUUUGUCACCCGCUCUGUAGGCCCGGCCGGCGCUUGCCGAUCAACCCAAAUUUUUAUACAGGUUGACCUCGGAUCAGGUAGGGAUACCCGCUGAACUUAAGCAUAUCAAUAAGCGGAGA